AACGAACGCUGGCGGCAUGCCUAACACAUGCAAGUCGAACGAGACCUUCGGGUCUAGUGGCGCACGGGUGCGUAACGCGUGGGAACCUGCCUUUAGGUUCGGAAUAACUCAGAGAAAUUUGAGCUAAUACCGGAUGAUGUCUUCGGACCAAAGAUUUAUCGCCUUUAGAUGGGCCCGCGUUGGAUUAGCUAGUUGGUGGGGUAAAGGCCUACCAAGGCGACGAUCCAUAGCUGGCCUGAGAGGAUGAUCAGCCACACUGGGACUGAGACACGGCCCAGACUCCUACGGGAGGCAGCAGUGGGGAAUAUUGGACAAUGGGCGAAAGCCUGAUCCAGCAAUGCCGCGUGAGUGAUGAAGGCCUUAGGGUUGUAAAGCUCUUUUACCCGAGAUGAUAAUGACAGUAUCGGGAGAAUAAGCUCCGGCUAACUCCGUG
rnacentral:rRNA from 1 species